GACAGAGGGGGCAAGCGUUGCUCGGAAUUACUGGGCGUAAAGGGCGCGUAGGCGGGAUGGCAAGUCGGUCGUGAAAUCCCUCGGCUCAACCGAGGAACUGCAUCCGAUACUGGCGGGCUUGAAUCCGGGAGAGGGAUGUGGAAUUCCAGGUGUAGCGGUGAAAUGCGUAGAUAUCUGGAGGAACACCGGUGGCGAAGGCGGCAUCCUGGACCGGUAUUGACGCUGAGGCGCGAAAGCUAGGGGAGCAAACGGG
rnacentral:rRNA from 1 species